AUUGAACGCUGGCGGCAGGCCUAACACAUGCAAGUCGAGCGGUAACAGGAAGCAGCUUGCUGCUUUGCUGACGAGUGGCGGACGGGUGAGUAAUGUCUGGGAAACUGCCUGAUGGAGGGGGAUAACUACUGGAAACGGUAGCUAAUACCGCAUAACGUCGCAAGACCAAAGAGGGGGACCUUCGGGCCUCUUGCCAUCGGAUGUGCCCAGAUGGGAUUAGCUAGUAGGUGGGGUAACGGCUCACCUAGGCGACGAUCCCUAGCUGGUCUGAGAGGAUGACCAGCCACACUGGAACUGAGACACGGUCCAGACUCCUACGGGAGGCAGCAGUGGGGAAUAUUGCACGAUGGGCGCAAGCCUGAUGCAGCCAUGCCGCGUGUAUGAAGAAGGCCUUCGGGUUGUAAAGUACUUUCAGCGGGGAGGAAGGGAGUAAAGUUAAUACCUUUGCUCAUUGACGUUACCCGCAGAAGAAGCACCGGCUAACUCCGUG
rnacentral:rRNA from 1 species